UAGGUCCAUUCACUGAAUAAGCAUCCC
rnacentral:piRNA from 1 species